GUCGAACGGGUAACNGANAAGCAGCUUGCUGCUUCGCCUGACNANUGGCGGACGGGUGAGUAAUGUCUGGNAAACUGCCUGAUGGAGGGGGAUANCUACUGGAAACNNUANCUAAUNCCNCAUAACNUCANNCGACCNAANANGGGGACCUUCUNGCCUCUUGCCAUCUGAUGUGCCCAUAUGGGAUUAGCUAGUANGUGGGGUAACGGCAUCACCUACGCGACGAUCCCUAAUUGGUCUGACAGGAUGACCAGCCACACUGGAACUGAGACACGGUCCACACUCCUANCANGAGGCAGCANAUGAGGAAUAUUGCNCAAUGACGCUGCUUACCUGAUGCAGCCAUGCCGCGUGUAUGAAGAAGGCCUUCGGGUUGUAAAGUACUUUCAGCGGGGAGGAAGGCGAUAAGGUUAAUAACCUUGUCGAUUGACGUUACCCGCAGAAGAAGCACCGGCUAACUCCGUGCCAGCAGCCGCGGUAAUACGGAGGGUGCAAGCGUUAAUCGGAAUUACUGGGCGUAAAGCGCACGCAGGCGGUCUGUCAAGUCGGAUGUGAAAUCCCCGGGCUCAACCUGGGAACUGCAUUCGAAACUGGCAGGCU
rnacentral:rRNA from 1 species